GCAUAUCAAUAAGCGGAGGAAAAGAAACCAACAGGGAUUGCCUUAGUAACGGCGAGUGAAGCGGCAACAGCUCAAAUUUGAAAUCUGGUCCCCUUUGGGGGCCCGAGUUGUAAUUUGAAGAGGAUGCUUUUGGCGAGGCGCCGUCCGAGUUCCCUGGAACGGGACGCCGCAGAGGGUGAGAGCCCCGUACGGUCGGACGCCGAGCCUCUGUAAAGCUCCUUCGACGAGUCGAGUAGUUUGGGAAUGCUGCUCAAAAUGGGAGGUAAACCCCUUCUAAAGCUAAAUACUGGCCAGAGACCGAUAGCGCACAAGUAGAGUGAUCGAAAGAUGAAAAGCACUUUGAAAAGAGAGUUAAAAAGCACGUGAAAUUGUUAAAAGGGAAGCGCUUGCGACCAGACUUGCGCCCGUCGGAUCAACCGUCGCUUGCGGCGGCGCACUCCGGCGGGCUCAGGCCAGCAUCAGUUCGUCCGGGGGGAGAAAGGCGGCGGGAAUGUGGCUCUUCGGAGUGUUAUAGCCCGCCGUGUAAUACCCUCGGGUGGACUGAGGACCGCGCGUAUGCAAGGAUGCUGGCGUAAUGGUCGUCAGCGACCCGUCUUGAAACACGGACC
rnacentral:rRNA from 1 species